rnacentral:rRNA from 1 species
GAUGAAUGCUGGCGGCGUGCCUAACACAUGCAAGUCGAGCGGCAGCGAGUUCUACACUGGCUUCUUCUCUUCCGCGGGAGGUAGGAGUAGCGAUUUUCUUUUCAAGGAAAUCGCGUCUUAUUUACCGAAGGAGGAACGCUUACGUGAUCACUAACCUUAAGAGAGUGCGAUCGAAAGCGGAGAGGAGGAGGUUGUGUAGAAUGUCGGCGAGCGGCGGACGGCUGAGUAACGCGUGGGAAUUUGCCCCAAAGUGAGGAAUAACUGCCCGAAAGGGUGGCUAAUGCCGCAUAUGGUCUUCGGAUUAAAGUCUUCGGACGCUUUGGGAGAAGCCCGCGUUGGAUUAGGUUGUUGGUAGGGUAAUGGCCUACCAAGCCGACGAUCCAUAGCUGGUCUGAGAGGAUGAUCAGCCAGACCGGAACUGAGACACGGUCCAGACUCCUACGGGAGGCAGCAGUGAGGAAUCUUCCACAAUGGGGGCAACCCUGAUGGAGCAACGCCGCGUGCAGGAUGAAGGCCUUCGGGUUGUAAACUGCUUUUAUGAGUGAAGAAUAUGACGGUAACUCAUGAAUAAGCACCGGCUAACUACGUGCCAGCAGCCGCGGUCAUACGUAGGGUGCAAGCAUUAUCCGGAGUGACUGGGCGUAAAGAGUUGCGUAGGCGGUUUGUUAAGCGAAUAGUGAAACCUGGUGGCUCAACCAUACAGACUAUUAUUCGAACUGGCAAACUCGAGAAUGGUAGAGGUCACUGGAAUUUCUAGUGUAGGAGUGAAAUCCGUAGAUAUUAGAAGGAACACCGAUGGGCGUAGGCAGGUGACUGGACCAUUUCUGACGCUAAGGCACGAAAGCGUGGGGAGCGAACCGGAUUAGAUACCCGGGUAGUCCACGCCGUAAACGAUGGAUACUAGCUGUUGGGGGUAUCGACCCCUCCAGGUAGCGAAGCUAACGCGUUAAGUAUCCCGCCUGUGGAGUACGGCCGCAAGGCUAAAACAUAAAGGAAUUGACGGGGACCCGCACAAGCGGUGGAUUAUGUUCUUUAAUUCGAUGAUAACCGAAGAACCUUACCAGGGCUUGACAUCCAGGGAAGGUCUACGAAAGUAGACUGUGCCCUUUUGGAACCCUGUGACAGGUGAUGCAUGGCCGUCGUCAGCUCGUGUCGUGAGAUGUUAGGUUAAGUCCUUCAACGAGCGCAACCCUUGUAAAUAGUUGGAUUUUUCUAUUUAGACUGCCCCGGUAACGGGGAGGAAGGAGGGGAUGAUGUCAGGUCAGUAUUUCCCUUACGUCCUGGGCUAGAAACGUAAUACAAUGGCUAGUACAAUGCGCAGCGAAGCCGCGAGGUGAAGCAAAAUCGCAUCAAAGCUAGUCCCAGUUCGGAUUGGAGGCUGAAAACUCGCCUCCAUGAAAGUCGGAAUCGCUAGUAAUCGCAAAUCAGCAAGUUGCGGUGAAAUACGUUCCCGGGUCU